rnacentral:rRNA from 1 species
AGGAUAAACGCUGGCGGCGUGCUUCAGGCAUGCAAGUCGAACGGACACUUCGGUGUUAGUGGCGGACGGGUGAGUAACACGUAAGUAACCUGCCCAGAAGUGGGGAAUAACUAGCCGAAAGGUUGGCUAAUACCGCAUGUUGUGACUCUUCCCUGGAGGGGUCACUAAAGGAUUUAUUCGCUUCUGGAGGGGCUUGCGGCCGAUUAGCUUGUUGGUGGGGUAAUGGCCUACCAAGGCGACGAUCGGUAGCUGGUCUGAGAGGACGGACAGCCACACGGGGACUGAGAUACGGCCCCGACUCCUACGGGAGGCAGCAGCUAGGAUCUUGGGAAUGGGCGAAAGCCUGACCCAGCAACGCCGCGUGGGCGAUGAAGGCCUUCGGGUCGUAAAGCCCUUUUGCAGGGGAGAUGAUGACGGUACCCUGCGAAUAAGCCACGGCUAACUACGUGCCAGCAGCCGC